CCUACGGGAGGCAGCAGUGGGGAAUAUUGCGCAAUGGGCGAAAGCCUGACGCAGCGACGCCGCGUGAGGGAUGAAGGUCUUCGGAUCGUAAACCUCUGUCAGCAGGGAAGAACGGUCACUGUGCUAAUCAGCAGUGAAUUGACAGUACCUGCUAAGGAAGCACCGGCUAACUCCGUGCCAGCAGCCGCGGUAAUACGGAGGGUGCGAGCGUUAAUCGGAAUUACUGGGCGUAAAGCGCUCGUAGGCGGUAUGUCAAGUCAAGGGUGAAAUCCCCGCGCUCAACGUGGGAACUGCCUUUGAAACUGGCAGACUGGAGUGUGUGAGAGGAUAGUGGAAGUCCAGGUGUAGGAGUGAAAUCCGUAGAUAUCUGGAGGAACAUCAGUGGCGAAGGCGACUAUCUGGCACAUAACUGACGCUGAGGAGCGAAAGCGUGGGUAGCAAACAGGAUUAGAUACCCUGGUAGUC
rnacentral:rRNA from 1 species